CUGAUUAUACUGUGAGAACGAAAGUUCUUGCUUUUAACUAGAUAACAACUUUCAGCAGUGGAUGUCUAGGCUCGCACAUCGAUGAAGAACGCUGCGAACUGCGAUACGUAAUGCGAAUUGCAGAAUUCAGUGAGUCAUCGAAAUUUUGAACGCAUAUUGCACUUCCGGGUUAUGCCUGGAAGUAUGUCUGUAUCAGUGUCCGUAAAUCAAACUUGCGUUUCUUCCUUCCGUGUAGUCGGUGGAGGAGAGUUGCAGAUGUGAAGUGUCUCGCUGUGGUUGGUGUUUGUUGUUUGCAAUGAAUGCACAGCUUGCGAGUCCUUUUAAAUGGACACGACUUUCUCUUUUUUGUAUGUGCGCGGUGCUGUGCGUGAACGCGGUGGUUUUCGGAUCGCUCGCGGCUGUCGGCGACUUCGGUGAAUGCAUAAUGGAGUGGACCUCGAUUCGCGGUAUGUUGGGCUUCGGCUGGACAAUGUUGCUUAUUGUGUGUCUGUUCCGUGUUCGCCUUGAGGUGUACUGAUGGCUGUGGGAUUGAACUGGUUACUGUUGUUAGUAGUGUGUGUAGCACGUUGUCGUGGAUGCAUCUGUGUUUUUGCAUACUUGUGUGUGUGCAAUUGUACAGAAGAGGAGUCUCAAUUUGGGAAAAGUUU
rnacentral:rRNA from 1 species